rnacentral:rRNA from 1 species
GACGAACGCUGGCGGCGUGCUUAACACAUGCAAGUCGAGCGGUAAGGCCCUUUCGGGGGUACACGAGCGGCGAACGGGUGAGUAACACGUGGGUGACCUGCCCUCAGCUCUGGGAUAAGCCUGGGAAACCGGGUCUAAUACUGGAUAUGACUCCAUGACGCAUGUUGUGGGGUGGAAAGCCUUGUGCGGCUGAGGAUGGGCCCGCGGCCUAUCAGCUUGUUGGUGGGGUGAGGCCUACCAAGGCGACGACGGGUAGCCGGCCUGAGAGGGCGACCGGCCACACUGGGACUGAGACACGGCCCAGACUCCUACGGGAGGCAGCAGUGGGGAAUCUUGCGCAAUGGGCGAAAGCCUGACGCAGCGACGCCGCGUGAGGGAUGACGGCCUGUGU